rnacentral:rRNA from 1 species
GACGAACGCUGGCGGCGUGCUUAACACAUGCAAGUCGAACGGAAAGGCCCUGCUUUUGUGGGGUGCUCGAGUGGCGAACGGGUGAGUAACACGUGAGUAACCUGCCCUUGACUUUGGGAUAACUUCAGGAAACUGGGGCUAAUACCGGAUAGGAGCUCCUGCUGCAUGGUGGGGGUUGGAAAGUUUCGGCGGCUGGGGAUGGACUCGCGGCUUAUCAGCUUGUUGGUGGGGUAGUGGCUUACCAAGGCUUUGACGGGUAGCCGGCCUGAGAGGGUGACCGGCCACAUUGGGACUGAGAUACGGCCCAGACUCCUACGGGAGGCAGCAGUGGGGAAUAUUGCACAAUGGGCGGAAGCCUGAUGCAGCAACGCCGCGUGCGGGAUGAAGGCCUCCGGGUUGUAAACCGCUUUCGCCUGUGACGAAGCGUGAGUGACGGUAAUGGGUAAAGAAGCACCGGCUAACUACGUG